GCCUCACACAGAACUGUUGGAAGUCUCUCCAACCAUGGCCUGGGUCUCUUUCUGCCUCCUGCCUUUCAUUUUCUCCACAGGUCUCUGUGCUCUGCCUGUGCUGACUCAGCCCCCGUCUGCAUCUGCCGCACUGGGAGCCUCAGUCAAGCUCACCUGCACCCUGAGCAGUGAGCACAGCAACUACUAUAUUCACUGGUAUCAACAGAGACCAGGGAGGUGCCCCCAGUAUAUAAUGAGGGUUAACAGUGAUGGCAGCCACAGCAAGGGGGACGGGAUCCCCAAUCGCUUCUCGGGUUCCAGCUCUGGGGCUGACCGCUACCUCACCAUCUCCAACCUCCAGUCUGAGGACGAGGCUGAGUAUCACUGUGGAGAGAGCCACACCAUUGAUGGCCAGGACGGGUAAGCCACAGUGACACAGACAAAGGAGAAGUGAGGCCAAAACCUCCCAUCUCCUGCUUCUCCUCGUGGACUCAGAGUGAGAAGCCCCAUGCCCCUCUCCAGAACCCUGAGAAUGAUGACUCUGCCCCUUGCAAAUCUCAUCAUCCCACAUAUCCUCCCUCAAGACAACUCUAGGCAGAAGCAGAUGCAAGCCAUGAUCGAGGAAAACUCAUCAUUCUGUUUCUUCCACACCAGAGUGUGGGGAGAGGCCAGAACAGCCCAGGCAGGAAAAGGACCCUGAGAGAGGGGCCAGGCUGGAAUGACCACGUUCACUGAGUGCCAUUUACCCUGUGUCCCAUUGUGGGACUCUGACUGUGGAGGAACGUGAAUCUUGACGUCUCCAUAACGUAU